UCCUUGUUAGUACAAUGGUCAGUACACUCAUCUACAGAUGAGGGAUCUGGGUUCGAUUCCUGGACUUGGAG
rnacentral:tRNA from 1 species